CUGGGGUGGGAGUGGGAGAGGUGGAGGGUGUUGCAGGCCCUCCCUGGUAACCAGAGAAGGGCAAACUCCAACCGCAGGGAGAUGAUGCCACUUGUGGGCUCUCAUAUUGGAGAGGAGCAAGAUGAGUGACAGAGCGGUGCGCGCUGUGGCCCUGCGCACGAACAGGCGGAGGGGGCUGUCUGUGUGUGUGCACUAGGCUGGAGGGGGGCGCUCCUGCUGCACCGGCCACAGGACUUGGGGGAGAGCUCGGCGGUGACGCGCAGCCCUCACGUGACCGCGAGCUGCAGAGCGACGCAGCCUUUGGUGCAGUCGUCACUCGUGUCUGGGUACCAGCUCCCCGCUGCCCUGCGCACGGCGGGCUGGCAUCGGGCCCGGGGGAAGCUGAGCAGGUCUGCGGGACUAGGCGUCGCGGCGGCGCACUCGUGGCGAGAAUCAGGAGGAGGAGACAGCGAGGAUAGGCCCAGGUCGGUGCGGCGGGUGCUGGUGCAAAGCCAGUCUGAGACACCUUCCUAACUCCCCCAGGCCCUAUCCCUCGUCCUCCAUUUUGGUGCCUGCUGCGCUCUGGGAAAGAAUACUGGGAAAAGAAAAAUGGUGGGCUUUGGGUUUGGGGGAGGGAGAGAAAAGAAGAGAGCUGGGGAAGGGGCUCAAAUUGGAGGCUCCCUAGAAGGCUCACGAGGCUCCUGAGGUGGGAAAAAAUAAAAUUUAAAAGUCUUUGAUAUCAGGGCUUUGAAUCCUGCUGGUUAGUGCACCAAGCAUUCAGUCUCUUUCCUUGCCUUUUGUCUUACUUGUUGUUCAAAGAAAACUAAC
rnacentral:lncRNA from 1 species